GCGGACACCGUCAGGUCCCUUAGGAGUUGGCAACCCAGUUAAAUUUUCAGGUCUCAACCACUGGGCCAGAGCUGGAAGGGGAAAAAUCUUGGCUAUGAGGAUGUGACGCUUGGGACUCCCUCAUCACUCUGGAGACUGCCCCUGAGAUCCCAGGACGUCUGACCACUUGGGCCAAGGGCAAUAUAGUUCUUUGCAGAAGUUCAAGAAGAAUCUGUCCUUCCUGUAACAGGAUAUAGUUGGAAAAAUUGGUUAUAUAACCAACGCUUUGACUGGAAUGCCAUAUUGGAGAAUGAUGUGCACAGAAUCAGAUAAGAUCAGACACUUUUAAGGAACUGAGAACCAUAAAGGUUGACUUCAUGUUGUAAUUCUUACAAAGCCCUCUUGGAAGAACUGGCCUAUUAUCUGGAUUGCAGGUUCUCUGCCUUGCAGGUGAGUAAGCAAAGUCACUUCCUGGCAGGCCCAGGAACCUUAGGAUAUUCUGGGGACCUCAAGAAGAGAGGCAUUCAUCCAAAUCUAUAGGAACUGCAGAUGAAGUCUGGUGGUGAGUUCCUGGCUUGGGUUCUUAGCCUCAAGUAAGUUUUUAAAAGUACAAUCUGAGAUUCCUCAUGAAAAGUUCCAGCAAAGCAAAUUUAAAAAGACGUUGUGGUCAGUUACCUUUCUUGCUGCACUUAUGUAAAGAUAUAGGCCAAAUCCAAUGAAACCAGACUUAUUUUGCAAUCAAGAAUAAUCUUACUUUGAUUAUCUUUGAUCAAAAUAGAAGGUGAUUGUAGAGAGAAAGUUUAUGUUUCAAUGGAAUACUAUAAGGCGUCCUUGUGGGUUAUCAGAUUCUAGUCCUGUUCAUUGUCUUUGUGCUAUUUUUCAUCUUUUUGUAAAGUGGCUCCCACUGUCUCGUGCAUUUUAUCAGUAAUUAACAUUUUCACCAAGAACUAAAACUGCCCUUCUCUCAAAGCACUGUAAGUCAAAGCUGGAUGAUUUCAUAUAACUUCAAAGGAUUUAUCACCACAAUGAUGUGGGCCACUCAGAAAGUUCACCAAACGCCCGUGUCUUCCACGCUUUGCUCCAGGAAAUAACCAUGAUUAUGACACUACCAUUACCAUCUUCACUAAAGACGUUUCGAACCCAACAUCUAGAAAUCUUCUCGACUGGCUCCCUUCUGGACUCAGAAACCGUGUGUAUACUCUGCUCCAAUCAUUAAUCUUUGUUUUUCUUUUUGAUUCCUCAUUCUAAUCUAUGUUCUUCUCCCCCAUGGCAGAUCUUUUACCUCAAAAUUUCUAACAUGAAUCUCUCUCCACAGCAAACAACCUAGCUUCUUUUUUUGUGUGUGAAACUUCUAGGAACGUUUCAGAUGAGGGAAAUAUGGGGACCCUCUCAGAUCCCCAGAGUUGGUAUAAAGAUUAUUUUAAAGUCAAAACAUUUGAGUGCAGAAAGAUAUCUUUUCGAACUUCCCUUAUCUGCCUAAAGCAGAGCCUCCUGAAAAUACAGCUGCUGUUAACCUCCCUCCUGGGGAGUUUCCUGAAAAUUCAUUUGCCAAGAAGACAGACUGCCCAUACCUGUUAGCAUCAAAAAGCUCAACAGAAACUUCCAUAUUCUCCUGUUAAAGCCCUAAAAACCACCUUUCCUUUGGGCAAUCCCAUGAGUUUUCCAUUCUGUGUGCUCUCCUGCUUGCAUGUGUGAAAACAUAUCUUGUCUUUUCUUCUGUUAAUCUGUAUUUUUUCCAGUUAAAUUUGCAGGCCCCCAAGCACUGGACCCAAGUUAGAAAAGGAAAGUUUUUCUCCCAAGAGAGUCAUCAGAACACACUGUCAGUUAAAGCCUUGGAGAAGAUUAGCUCCCUGAAGGGAGGGGCUGCCCACAGAAAGAAGAGAACGUUCAAGGAAAGAACUGAGGAAAAACCAACAUCUAAAGGGUAGUGGGGUAGAAAAGCCACAAAAGAGCUGGAGAAGGCCGAAGAUCAGAUUGAUGGGAGAUAAUGACCAAUGGCUUCCAUGUGUGGAGCAUUUACCAAGUGCCAGGCACUGUGCUCAAAGACUCUACAAGCAUUGUCUAAUCUGCUCUUCACGGUAGCUCCCGAAGGCAGGUAAAAUUCACACAUUAUUGGUGAAACAACACAGUCGUGAACCUUGAGUGAAUUGCCGAAAUUCACACAGCUAGUUGGUGGCAGGGCAAGAAUUUGAACUCUAGAGGCCAUGGUUUUAGCCAUGAUAGUGGGUUGAAUAGUGUCCCCCCAAAUUCAUGUGUACCUGGAACCUCAGAAUGUAAUCUUAUUUGGAAAUAUGGUUUGAAGAUGUGUUCAAGUUACGAUGAGGUCAUACUGGAUUAGUGGGUCCCAUAUCCAAUGACCGGUGUCUUUGUAAGAGAAGGGAGAGGAGGAUUUGGAUACAGAGAUGUAGAGGAAGAAAGCCAUGUGAAGAUGGAUGUAGAGAUUGGAGUUAUGCUGCUACAAGCCAAGGAACACCUGGGGCCUCCAGAAGCUGGAAGGAACAAGGAAGGGUUCUUUCCUCGAGGCUUCAGAGGAAGCAUGGCCCUGCUGUCACCUUGAUUUUGGACUUCCA